UCGGGAAUUUUGGGCAAUGGGCGAAAGCCUGACCCAGCAACGCCGCGUGAGGGAUGAAGUAUUUCGGUAUGUAAACCUCGAAAGAAUGGGAAGAAUAAAUGACGGUACCAUUUAUAAGCUCCGGCUAACUACGUGCCAGCAGCCGCGGUAAUACGUAGGGGGCAAGCGUUGUUCGGAUUUACUGGGCGUAAAGGGCGCGUAGGCGGCGCGGUAAGUCACUUGUGAAAUCUCUGAGCUUAACUCAGAACGGCCAAGUGAUACUGCUGUGCUAGAGUGCGGAAGAGGCAACCGGAAUUCUUGGUGUAGCGGUGAAAUGCGUAGAUAUCAAGAGGAACACCUGAGGCGAAGGCGGGUUGCUGGGCCGACACUGACGCUGAUGCGCGAAAGCCAGGGGAGCAAACG
rnacentral:rRNA from 1 species